rnacentral:lncRNA from 1 species
UGUUCCAAGCGCUUGGAGAAUUGAAGUAGGGGGUUCAUAUGGCCUUGUGCUGGAUAGGAUAAGACCAAACAGUGAGCUAAUUUGCUAGAGGCAGAUGCCUUCUUUUCAUUAUUCUCCAUUUUUUUGUUCCCAACACAAAGAACUUGAGCUCGCUUCCAGCGAUCUGCUGGUUAAUUAUACACACACACACACACACACACACACACAAAAUAGAUUUUUUGGAGUAAUUCCAAAAAAUUGAGCCAUAUUAAUAAUAAUAACUAAAAAUAAUUUUAAAAAUGAAAAAUUUGGAGUAAAAUUCCACUUCUAUUGGCUAUUGCAUAUCUUAAAAUAAUAAAUUUACAUGGGUAAAACAGACAGGUCCAAAACUUAGGAGUCGUGAUGCGAGCAUGCUUGUUUUCUUAUCAUUGUAUUAAUUAAUUUGUAGUCAUUGAAUGCAGGUUCUGCAUGGGGGCCAAAGAUAACAAAGACGUAAAUUUUUAUUUACACGAAUCACGUUGACGAUGUUGCCAAAACCUAAACUUAAUUAUCAAUGUUAAUUCCGCCAUUCGUUAGGCGGCAUCAUAAGCUACAGCCGAUCUUUAGGUGGAGAACACAGACAAACAAGGCAAAAUGUUGCUGAAUUUUAAGAUCAGCCGCAGCUUAAAAAAUGUUUGGGAGAUGACAUAAACAAGACAGUAUUUGUGGUACCAUUUUCCGCCGAUCAUUUUACGUUUUACAAAAAAACAAAAAUGAAAAAGGCGUUUGGCAGGCGUUUUUGAGCUGUAAAAUAAAUACAAGGAAAAUGGGUUGCUUCCAUUCUUCAACUUUUGUCAACAGAAGUGGGGUUUUGUUUCUUGUACUUGCAUGCUUAAAUGGGGCCACGACCUUUGUCAUUAAAUGUGACAUUUUAUUUUUAAAAAUAUUUAACAUGUAUUAAUUGAUAUAAUAACAAAAGAUGAAGUGCAUAUAAAUAUAUUAUAAUCAUAAAUACUGAGACAUUCAUUUUAAAAUAAAAUGAUAUUUGUUUAUCUAUGUUUUUUAAUUUUUAAUUCAGUUAUUUAAUUUAUUUUAAUUAUUUAUUAAAUAUAAAUAUUUAAAUUAUGGUUGGCGACCUAAACCGCUGCAAACCACUGUUGACCGCCGGUAGCUGCAAUUUUCUCAUAAUUUUUUGCGUUAAAAUUUGUACCAAUGGAAUCCUCGUCAAGAGAUCUACACAACGUUACUAAUAUCUCUAGUAACAAAGCUUUCAUUUGCUGUUAGCACGUAGUCAAAUCUUUGAAAUCUAAAAUUUUAACUGUACAUAUUUGUAACAUUGCAUAGAGCCCUCGGUGUGGAUUCUAGCGGCACCAAUUAAGACGUAAACGAAUAACAUAUUUAAAUUGUCGGUGGUGGCUGCCCGUGGUUGUUUAUUUUUUAAUUAAUAAAUCAAAAUAAUAUAAAUUUAAUACAAAUUAUAAUAUCAAAUAUCAAUUUAUGUAGUAUAGUUCAUAUAACACAUUGUUCAUGUAACACAUGGUACUUUAUGAAUUGUACUACCCUCUAAAAUUGUAAUAUAUCAUAGUUCAAUACCUUCCAACACACCAAGUGCUCCAUAAAAUUAUUUUCAAGUCUAUGGCCCCAAGAUACAGUAUAAUCUCUAUAAAUUAAUAGUAUUGGGAUCAUAUAAAAUCUAUUAAUUUAUAUGGUUUACAAUUCUAUGAUCAUACAUAUAAUUAACCAAAACUUCAUUUUAUUUUACCAAUCUAAUCAUAUGAAUAAGAACUAAUCCACUAAAUAUACGUUAAGUAAACUAAAAAAAAUAAAAACAUUGUACUUAUCUACUUCGAGGUUUCUAAUUUAGAAGAAAUUAUUGCUAACAUCGUUGAAAACCCUAUGAUGAUGAAUUUGAGGAUGUUACAACAACUUUAUUUUGGAGCCAAUUAUGUGCAAGGAAGCACUCAAAUCGACAACAAUACUUCAUAAUUUUUUACUGUAAUUCGAGAGUUCAAUUCUAAAAUUUAUAGACGCAUUAUGAAAAAUUAUUAGAGAUGAAUUUAGAGAAAAAUAGGUAACAAUAGCUCAUAUUUUAUUAAAUAAAACAACAUAGUCCAUUAUAUUUGUAAUCUAACAAAUUAUCAAAUUAUAAUGUGAAUGAGACUAAAUAAUUAUAUAAGAGUUUUCAGAAAAAAAGUAUUAUUUACAUUAUAAUUUAGAGAAAAAUAGGUAACAAUAGUUCAUAUUUUAUUAAAUAAAACAGCAUAGUCCAUUAUAUUUGUAAUUUAACAAAUUAUUAAAUUAUAAUGUGAAUGAGACUACAAUUAUAUCAGAGUUUUCAGAAAAAGUAUUAUUUACUGUGGCUUUCAAUUUGGUAUUAGUGUUGACUUUAGAAUUUAAUUUGAAAUUUGAAAAGGAUGAAAAUUUUAGCAAUUGAUCUAGAAUUAAAAUAGGGAGAGAGGGAGAGAGAGAGAGAGAGAGAGAGAGAGAGAGAGAGAGAGAGAGAGAGAGAGAGAGAGAGAGAGAGCAGACUGGGCGCUCUCUAUUAAUGUCUAUAACAAUUUAGGGUGAACGCAAUUUGUACUGAUUUUGCAUUUUUAAAGGGAUAUGAAUUUAUGAGCAAAGACUUAUGUGUAGUCCCUCCCUUGACCAUUUAACCAUAAAGGCAUAAACUUUCACUAUAAAGGUCAAACUGAUUAUGUUUGAAGAUACUAAAUAAAUAAUCUUUUAAUCUCUAAAAAUGUUUUUAUUGGUUAUUAGCAAGAAAGUGAAUUGUUUAAAAAAGAAAAAAAAAGAAAAAAUGUGGUGAAUUAAAAGUUAGUUAAUGUCAACAAGCAUUUUACGAGACUAUUUGUUAGAUCAAUGGGUAAUUAAAAUCUUGUGACAUAAUUAAAAGCUUGGAAUUUGAAUCCAGGCUCAUAUGUGUAAACUAGGAUAAAGUGAAAUUUUUGAAAAACUUAUAAUUACCUCUUCCUCCAGCUCAUAAAAUGUGUUACAAAGAACCCAAUCAGCUUUGUCAAUAUUAUCAAAUUGAUAUUUUAUCACCAUAUCAGCAACAGCUGGAUAUGACCCCAAAUGAUAAAUGAAUGAAGGCAUGCCUUGAGGCUCAAGUGGAGGCAUUCCGGCCAACAACAAUUGAUUAUCCGGAAGUGGAAGCUUGAGCGAGCCCUUGUUCACAUGGUAAUAAAUGCAAUCAACAACACAAGAUUGAGUGAGGAAUGCGGCCCCAACCAGCCCAAACUUCUUAGCAACAUCGAGAGCCCAAGGCAAAAAUGAAUCAUACACGAUGCAAUGGACAGGAACACCUGAGCCAUUCAUCUUCUCAACAAGCUCACAAAGGCUUCGAGGGUCAAUUUGCCAAAACCUCUCCAAGUAAGCUUCAAUGCUCUCUGCUUGCGCGGACCCUCCUUCGUCGUAGCCAUCAGAGAUUGCCUCGAGAGCAAUGGAGGUGGACGGGGACGAUGAAUCUCUAUGUAAGGAUUUGGAUAUGAAAUAAGUGGUUACUAGAGUUACCUUGAGGCCUUUGUGUUCUAAGCGCUUGGCGAACUGCAGCAAAGGGUUUAUGUUGAAAAAAUAGCAUAACAUGCUAUUUUGAGGGCACAUUUUGAGUGGGUCUCACUUAACGAAAGUGGAAAAUCUUGUAAGAUUCGGAUUCUACUCCGCUAAUACUUCAAAAGUAUAAUCUUAUUUUCUCAAAAUGAUGCUUGGGUGAAUGAGAAAUUAUCUCUCAAAGUUCACCCUUGAAGUUGGAAAUUUGAAAGGAAAUGAGACUUAUCCCACAUGGGAAAAAGAAGCAUAGGGAUUAGUGUUUAUAUAUAAAAACUUAACCAUACAUGAGUAAAAAUUAUAUGGAUAGAGGUUCUCUCCACACGCGCGUGCGUAGGGGGUACAAAUUGAAGACUGAUUUGGUUGAACUUGUGUGCGCCCGCGUGUCCUACAUACACGAAUGUCAGUCCAAAAUCAUUCAUGCAAGCUUGGCACAUUUUUAAUUUCCUUUUGAAUUUUUUAUUGUAACUGUUUCACGUUUUGAAUUCAAAGAAUUGUAACAGCUUCAACAAUUAUUUUUAGCUGUUAUUCACGUUUUAUUUUUUGAAUUCAAUUUUGAAAUCAUUCAUGGAAUUGAUUUGGCUGUUAUGAUAAUUAAAUAAAACAUAUUGAAUUCGAAAAUUCAAUACAAAGCAGUUGUUACAUCCUCACAUGAGUAUAAAAAUGCACCUCCUCUUUUGUUUUUAGACACUCGAAAAAAUCAGCACAGAGCACACUUGUUUUUCCUUCCUCCUUCGUCGUUGUCUGUUUUCUCUGAUCGAGUUUUCUGUUGUGAUUCGCCGGAAUUUCCAACAUGUGCUUAGCCAGGAAUUCGUGCCCGUUGUAUCCUAGAAAACAGUUAUCAGCAGACCUUAAGCACUCCAGUAAGUGGUAAAUUUGUUUUAAGGAUACUGCCCUGUGCAGGCCUCAGGUUCCAUUUUAUUUUUCUAUGUCGGUUUUCAUCUCUAUUCUGUUUUGUUUUCUAUUAUUUCAUUUGAAAUUUUUAGUAGCUGGUUUUCAUUGUUUAGCUACUAUUUAAUUUGUUAUCUCCCUGUUUGUUUUGUCUAACAGUUUAUAUGGCCUUGUGCUGGAUAAGAUAAGACCAAACAGUGAACUCGUUUGCAGGAGGCAGCUUUCUUUUCAAUAUUCUCCAUUUUUCUUCUCCUCACCCAAUUACUUUAGCUAGCUCUCUCUUUCUGUGUUCAAGUUGUUUAUACAAUUGAUUGAUUUAUAGGAAGUGCAGAGUUUAUAUACACGACGGAAUUUAUGGCCAGUGCCCAUUAAAAUAAGUAAUUUUGUAUCAAUUAAUCAAUUACAAUUGAAAUCUUUUGUAACAUGAAAGAGUGACGUGGUGUUGGCCCCAAGGAACAAUUUCUCCACAAAUACAACAUUAAAAUUAAUUUGUACUCGUACUCUGCCUAAAUAAAUGUGACGAAGAGGCGUGCUUUAUCAUUUGAAGCAAGUAAAAAUCAAAUGCAAAACUUCUGUCAGGUUAGCUGGAUGGUGUCUAUUUGCUGUCUAGAAGUGUCUUAUGUACAAGCAAUGAGCAGCGCACUUAGGGGCGAAGCUAGAUUUUUUCAGGGUGGGGAGGUGGGCUAAAAUGAUUUUUCUCUUAAUUACCGAUUAUUUUUAGAGUAGGCCAUAUUAAAAUUAUUUUUUAAAAAAUAAUAAUAUGUACUUUUUUUAAAUUAAAAUUUAAUAUUGAGUUAAGUUUUUGUUGAGCAUUAAAUUAAUAGUGUUGAUUUUUUUCUUUAUUUUUCUUAUCUAACAACUAUUAAUUCAAUAGAGAUAAAAUAAGAGUGCAUGAGAAUUUUUGGCGCUGAUUUAUUGAAAGGUUUAUUAAUGGAGGUAAAACAAGAGGGUAUAAAAAUCUAUCUAUGAUUAUAUGUCAAGAAAUUUAGAAAUAGAAAUUGAGUUGGCUCGCAAUUUGUUAAACAGUACUUGAUUAAGAAAAUUAUGAAAGAAAAUACUCAUAAAGUAUUCCAAUGAAUCAUGUUGAAUUAAACCAUACCAUUAAAUUGAAAUUGAACUUGAAAUGAUUAUAUCUUAAUUCAAAUUCCUAUAAUUUUAGGAUUAAAAAAUUAAGGAUUUAAUACUAUGUUUUUUUGAAAAAAAAAAAAUCAAAGUCAGAAGGUAAAGAGUGAGAGAGGUUUGGAUUAAGAGAAAUGAACAAAAUAAAAAAAUAUAAAGAAAUUGAAAAAUUAUUAAAAAUAUUAAUAGUAACACUAUAAAUAAAUCUAUUUAAAAUAAUUCAUUUGAAUUUUUCCCAAAAUUAUGGAUGUGCUAACCCUAAAGUUGCUUCGCCACCGAGCAUUCAUAUCUAAUAUCUAAUAUAAUCUCGCUAGUUGAAAUGAAGUACUGAGAAUUAAAUUGGGUUAGACUAGCAAAAACGUGGUUAAUUCAUAGAAGUCUUCAAAGGUAGGCCUCAGUACUUAAAUAUCCAAUAUCUGACGUCAUCGAAUUAAGAAUCAGGCAAUGUCGUACGUCAUCAUUGGCCACCUCAAUGGAAGACUUAAAAACAUACAACAACGACAUCAAUCAAUUAAGAAAGCCUCCAUUAUAAUUUAUUUAUAUAUGUCCAAAAACAAUUUUUGAAUUUAACAAAACAUAUUACUGCUAGUUUAUUCUAUUAAUAAAAUCCUGUAAUAUAAUAUGUUUAGAGUUCGAAUCUAAACUUAUGUAUGCAUAUAUAUAUAUAUAUAUAUAUAUAUAAAUAGACGCACAUUUAAGAUUUUUGAAACGCUUAUAAUAUAAUUACCUCUUUCUCCAGCUCAUCAAAAUGUGUUGGAAAUAACCCAAUCAACUUUGUGGGUGUUAUCAAGUUGAUAUUUCAUCACCACAUCAGAGAAGGCAAGAUAUGACCCCAAAUCGUAGGUUUCUUCAGGUAACUUUCUUUUUCAUGUUCUGCAUUUUUUCUUUUUCUUUUUUUAACUUUUCUCCUUUCAAAUCACUUGAACUAGCUUUGCCCACUCUAUAUAUUCACGUUGCUUUAUUGAUGGGGAAGUUCAAAAUUUCUGCGCGUCAAAGUUGGUGAUCACAACCUUGUCAAACAAGUAAAUUUUUUUUCUUUUUUCGAAAGGGUCAAACGAAUACGAAUUGAGUGGCCAUCAAGUAUGCAUUUGGCUUUUGCAAAAAUGAUCCGGAUGAUUAUAGAGGGGGCUAAGUUACAGGAUCCGUUUGUAACAGACACGUAAUGUCAGUCGUUGGAUGUGGAGUGAAAAAGAUGCAGAAAUUUAAGGGUAGGAAAAAGAAGUUAAAAAAAUACACAUUCGUGGAGAACCGGCUUUGAUGGUUAAUGUGAGCAGUACACAUCGCAGAAGAUCGAUUUUACAUAAAAAGCCAUGGUAACUAGAGGAAAUAACAGGAUAUUUCGAUAUGGCACAAGGUUUGGACUCCGCAAAUUCAACCGGGCAGUUAGGUCACUCAUAUAUGCAGGAAUUAAAAAACACACACACUUAGCAUAAAUUCAACUAUAAAUCACCAUUCAGGCUUCGGUGAUCUUUGGUGAUCUGUUGACCCAAGCGGCCAAACCACAAAAAAUCCACUUUGAGUGCAGGCACCAAAUGAAGAUGAAUGCGAUGACUUGAGGAGCAGAAACCGAAAAUAUCAUAAUCGAAUUGUAGGAACAAUAAAAAUGGCAACAAUGACUAGUAUGACUUUAAAAUUUUCUGUACAUGAAUGAAGGCACCACUCAUCGGAACUCAAAAUUGAAAUUCAUGGAAACCCAGAUAGUGGUUCUUGCUAAAUAAUGUAAUGAACUGGAUCUGUACCAAUAGGCUUCUGUCUACACACUGAAAGAUCUUUACUUUAGCCACUGAUCAUCAAAUUCAAGUACAAAAAAUCCACUCCCAGAUUUAAUCUUGAUCAAUAAACUUCAAAAAAAAAGGACAAAGGUUUAAAAGCACAAACACAGGAUUAAUCAAUGAAAAAACAAAACUUUCAAAAUCUUAUCCCCCAUGGUGUUUCAUUUUGUACCAAUUUCAAUCAGAUAUUGAAGAAGACGAGAACCUGUGGAGUGAGAAAGAUGGGCGGAUUUAACGGUUGGAAAAAGAUUUUUUUUGUUUUUGUUUUUUUUAAAAAAACACAUUCGUGUGCAACCGGCUUUGAUGGUUAAUGUGAAACCGGAAGAAAACCGGAAUGUUGGGUUCCACAUAUAAUCUACCAUUUCUUCGACGGUCCACGUGUCACCCAUCCACCUAUAAUCUUGUCAGCUCACAAGAUGUUACUUGCAGAAACUGCAGCGUAUAGGUUACAGUUCAACUCUUUUCUAACAUGAAAGAUUCCAAAAGAAAUAAUGCAAGUGAAGAAAACACGUGUUUUUUUAUUUAUUGAAAAAGUCAAAUCAAAAGCAAUCUAACUCAAGCAAAUUAUUGAAUUGUAACAUUAUACGUCAAUGAAAAAAUAAAUGUUUAUGAUUUUUUCGUUGAGUUUCGCUACAAGAAAAUGGCUCAUUUUCGAAGAUAAAUACUCUUAGAAAUACAUAGAAAUUCUUGAAAAAAUUCAUUUUCGAACGGGGCAUGGCGUUGAUCGUCGUCGUAUUAAGAUUUAUUGGAAAAACCCUUUGGUUGGUUAUUAUGUUGAAUAUGCAUAAGCUUUAACAUAAUUAAAUCUUAACCUGCCAGGAAUUCACAUAUUUAAUACGUUAUUUAAAAAUCAACACAGUUCCGAUCAUCACUAGAUUCGAAUCAUGUGGUAGAGAAAAAUUACUUAAUUACCUCUUUCUCUAACUCAUAGAAGGUGUUGCAAAGAAUCCAAUCAGCUUUGUCAAUAUUAGAAACUUGGCGAGUAACAAUCAUAUCGAAGAAAGCAGGAUAUGAUGCCGAAUCGUUAAUGAAAGAAGGCGUAUCUUGAGGAUCAAGUGGAGGCAAUCCAGGCAGCAAAACCUCAUCACCAAUGAGGGGAAGUUUAAUCAACCCUUUAUUCACAUGGUGGUAUAUGGCAGCAACAGCACAAGAUUGAGUGAGAAACGCAGCUCCAGUCAAGCCAAACUUCUUGGCAACAUCAAGAGCCCAAGGCAAAAAUGAAUCAAACACAAUACAAUCCACAUCAUUCAUCCUCUCAACAAGCUCAGUCAGAGUCUGCAGGCCAAUUUGCCAGAACCGAUCCACGUAUGCUUGGUCACUUUCUGCCUGUGCAGAACCGCCUUUAUCGUAGCCAUCGGAUAUUGUCUCUAGUGCAAUUGAAAUGGAGCUUGAUGGAUCUCUGUGUAAGGAUUUGGAGAUAAAAUAAGUAGUGACUAUGGUUACUUUUAUUCCUUUGCGUUCCAAGCGCUUGGAGAAUAAAAGCAGGGGGUUUAUAUGGCCUUGUGCUGGGUAGGAUAAGACCAAACAGUUAGCUAAUUUGCUAGAGGCAGAUGCCUUCUUUUCAUUAUUCUCCAUUUUUUUGUUCCCAACACAAUGAACUUGAGCUCGCUUCCAGUGAUCUGCUGGUUAAUUAUACACACACACACACACACAAUAGAUUUUUUGGAGUAAUUCCAAAUAAUUGAGCCAU